rnacentral:rRNA from 1 species
CAGCACCUCAAGUGGUCAGGAUGAUUAUUGGGCCUAAAGCAUCCGUAGCCGGCGCUGUAAGUUUUCGGUUAAAUCUGUACGCUCAACGUACAGGCUGCCGGGAAUACUGCAGCGCUAGGGAGUGGGAAAGGUAGACGGUACUCGGUAGGAAGGGGUAAAAUCCUUUGAUCUAUCGAUGACCACCUGUGGCGAAGGCGGUCUACCAGAACACGUCCGACGGUGAGGGAUGAAAGCUGGGGGAGCAAACCGGAUUAGAUACCCGAGUAGUCC